rnacentral:lncRNA from 1 species
AGUUUAGGUAAAAUUUGUAAAUGAUCUUGCAUUUGAGUCUGAAGUUUAAAAGCAACAGUUACUCAUUUUGGGCCAAAAACUACAGGCAUGACUGUGCAUGCUUACUGGCAGCUCUCAGACCAUCCCAGCUCAGCUACUGUGUUUGGCUCUCUUCCCCAUGCUCAGCACUGUAAACAAACAAUCGGACAACAAAAGCAUGGGAUUCCUGAUGCUCUUCUAAGUUUGACCACAACCAAAUUGUAGGGUGUACCUGAUUCAGAAGCUCAGCGGCAGCCACGUUUGCAUCCAAGUGGCCCCCACACUUCAACAACACCAGAUUAUCAGAAGCACAAAGAGCACCGGCUUGCAUUUUUUUCUGGCUCAUGGGACAGGAGGGGUUGCAGACAAGGAAUGAGUCCCGUACUCAGGUGACUUCUUGUGAACCAAUCCCCUAAGGAAUAAAGAAGCCAAUCACUGGGUGAGUAGGCGGGACUUCUGGGUUGGAUGGAGGAAGAGAGGAAGCAGGAGAGAGUUAGGUCUUUUUUGGACGGGGAUAGCGUGAGGACAAGAUUUAAUUAUGAGUGGCUCCUGGUUUCAAUGGUGGAUCUGUCAGGAUUCGCCACAGGAGGAUUUAGAUUUAAUAAGACUUACAGAUUAGAAUUUUAGUUGAUGCACUCAGUGAUUGAGUUUAUGUUGUUUCUGAACUAAGCUUGUGUUGUGUUUUCCUUCACACAGCAGCUUGUCGGGGUUCAAGAGAGAAAGAUACGGUUGGCAAAGCAUGGAUUUGCCUGAGGUGCACCACAAAGAACUCUCAGCUACUUUUCCAUCAACAUGUUUGCCUGUGUGUGACCAUACUUCCUGCCAUGAUGAAAAUUGACUAAAUUUCUAAAACUGCAAGUUUCAAAACAUGGAAAAGAAGACAUAAAUGCACAAAGGCAUCUCACAAAACUGUCACAUAAUAUAAAAACACCAGAACUGAGCUGUUAAAACCAUGGCUCAGGAUUCAUCCAUGUAUCUCAGCAACACAUUCAGUGCCUUAAGGUGAUCCAACUCCUUUUCCGACCUCUGUGGGCUCCUGUAUGCAUAUUCUUAGGCACUGUGCUGUGCUGUGAGUUUUCUGUUAACUCAAAACAAGCUGGAGUCAUUUCGAAAGAGGAAACUGAAAUUAAGAACAUUCUGCAAUCAGAUUAACCCAUGAGCAAGCCACUAAGCAACACUCCUCCAUGAUCUUUGCAUCAGCUCCUGCCUCAAGGUUCCUGCCCAGUUUGAGUUCCUUCCCUGACUUUCCUCAGUGAUGGACUGAUGUGGAACUAAAAGCUGAAACAAACCAUUUCCUGCCCAAGUUGGGUAUUGUUUUAUCACAGACUAGAAACACACACACAAACCACACAUGCACAUGAAAUAAAAUAAAAUAAAAUAAAUAUUACCAUCCA